GAUGCUAGCUACGGAGCACGGGUGUGUCGUCUAGCAAGAGGCGGCGGGAGGGUAGCUAGACGGCGGCUGGGGACGCCUCGAAGGGAGGGGUUAGGCUAAACUGCCUCUCUCACGGUCUAGGCCGGCCCCCUCGGCGGCAUCUCGGAGGUGCAGCCACCUCGUCGUGGAGGACGGUGCCCGCGGCGGCGGUGGAGAACGGAGUGCUGGGAAACGGCGCUGAGGCGGGGGUUCGCGGCGAGGGCGUGCGUUGGAAUUGGGAUAGGGCGGUACGGAGCGACGGAGCGGCGAACUCGGCGCGACUACCUCGGGCUCGUCACCACCGGCUGGGGCAGCGGCGGCGGCUCGGACACCUGCUCCUCUUCCUCUUCCUCCUCCUCUGCCUCCGCCGGCUCCUGCUCCUCCUGUGCGACGACCUGGCGCGCGUCGGACUAGAGUGCCCAGGGAAACGUGUACACGUCAAGCAGUUACCUGGUUACGGAUUAGAGGGGUUCCAACUACAAAGUGACCUGGGCCACUUCCUCAACUCGUCUCAUUAUAGACUCGCUUUUUUAACUCCCCGCACGAAACCAACACGAGAGUCGGUCCAAUAAAAUGCUCCCAACACACGUGACUUGGGGUAAAGAGACCUGGUUCCCUGCUACUUGUUCUACCCUUACUCCUCCUACGAUGAUUAGGCCUCAUCAUUAUAACCUAAUGUCCAGUACCCAAUCAUCAAUUGACGUCUUUAGUCUUAUAACCUAUCGUCAUUGAUUCCGGUAACCGUUAAAGAUAGUAUAUAGUAUUAAAUAAACACACUAAGGAAAUGGUUGAUGUACAAAGAUAAACAAAGGAUAUAAAACAAACAAGGACUUAUAAAAUACUUAACACAUAAAGAUAAAAUUAUGUAUUCUGAGAAAAAGUACGUUAAAUGAGUUACCGGAUAUACUCUUCGGGAUUUAUUUCGAUAAGGAGUAAACAUGCGAAAGAACGAAUAUAUCUAGUUUUAUACCUUAAGAGACGUCCAAUUGAUUAUGUACGUAGUUGAAACAUAGUAUUUCUAAAGUGGUAGGGUUCCAUUACCUUUAUUCAAGUGUUCUAAGAGUACAACUCCAGACAUGUUUCUCUUUGUUCCGUUACAGACACACGACCUUCCUCUUUGAGUGACGGUUUCGAUAUUAGGGACUACGAUUUCGGACGUACAAGUCUAGACGUCUCAAAUGAGUAUAAUGACAUACUUACUAAUUAUGUCUCCCUCGGGAAAACAGUCCAGUAAAUUAGUAAUUUAGUAUGCAUGUAAUAGAGUCCAUUGAAUGAUGAUGGAAACAAGCUUUUAUUCACGGCAAUUGAAUCAUGUGGAAACGUGAUUUUAACAUGAUUUAGGCACUGUGAAUAAAAUCCUGUCUCCCUCAUAAAGUAAAAGAUGGACUUGGUUCAACAAUAAAGUAAAGAUUCUCCGUUUCUCAAGGAGUACCAAUCAAACGGUGUAAAAUAUACAGAUAGAUACACGUAAUGCUUAAGUGAUAUACGUGGAAAUCAAGGGUCAAAACCGAGUGAAAGAACUACGUAGAGCCUACUCUCCUUUCCUUACCUAUUAGACUGUUCGUUACAAGCCCGUAUGGGAAUAUAAAUGCAGACUACUUUACGACGCCCACUUUUGAUUAGUUCUGACGACGGUACUCGUUUUCUCGUCUUUAAUGAAUACUCUUUUGUUAUUUUCUUAGAAGGCACUGAUGUAUGGUGCUGCUCAGUUUCUGCUACUUUCGUGAUGAGGUAACCACCACAAUCGUUCACCUCAGACCUCCCUCUUGUUGUGUUUCAUCCUUUAACUAAGGGAGCGGGAGCGAACGAAGUUGCUGGGGCGAGCAGAACCACCCCAGCUAAGGGGGUAGCGGGCUGAGUAGAGACUGCUCAUACCGCAAUCACCCAUGCGGGGCGGCAAGCAUACGAACCGCCCAGGGUCUUGUGGGCACUGCACAUACUCGAACUGAUCCCGCUCCCCGAACACGAGCACGAGCUCGAGUUGUUCUGCGUGAAGCUAGAGCAGUGGUUGAUGCUCGACCUGACACUCUGAGGUCUCGUCCGCCCCCGCUGCUUCUGCUUUCACCCCCGUCAAGCUCGAACAGCGACGGCCUCUGGGACCUCUCCACGCGCUUCUCUGGACCAAUCUAAACAACCGGUGGUGACCAUUUGACGUGAUUAUUGUUUAGCCUACAGUAGACAGUACAACGGCUAAGUUGGGACCUGCUACAACGCGCCGGGCGCCAGUACCUGCUACACG
rnacentral:rRNA from 1 species